GGCAGUAUGGCCGAGUGGUUAAGGCGAUAGACUUGAAUCAGUAUUGAAAUCUAUUCUCUUCGGAGGCGUCGGUUCAAAUCCGGCUGCUGUCG
rnacentral:tRNA from 3 species